GGAAUUUUUACUCCCUAAAAGAGCGCCCCCCCAUGGCAGGAGAAAAAAGUCCAUUUUUUCUUGUCCCCUAAGGUGAAAAUACACAUUGUUGACUGUCACGCCUGUACGCUUUGGCAAAAUGACACAAAAAUUGACAAUCAUGUGUAUCUCAAUUAGAUCUAUGAAAAAGUCAAAGAGCGCGUAUCUGUAUAAUGUACGGUAAAAGGGCUAUUUUGCAUUUUUUGCCGAUUCGCACACAUUGGAAUGUGGCUUACUCCUCCUAAGGCUUUCGUCCCACUGACACCAAAUUUGCUCAGGCCAAUCUACACUCCAUGGCCAUUCACAGUUGUAAAAAUCAUGACGCUGCACCCCACGGUUUACGUUUUAGGGGGCGCCAAAGAUGACCCAAAUAUACAUUACAGUAGACAAAGUAGUUUUGCCCACUGAGUGGCGCCAAAGGGACUUGUCUGUGGAGUCUGUGAGUCACUAUUGGCCGUUUUUGACUACUUUAGAUUUUACCUUUAUAUUUCCUCUUACAAAAUUUUUACCUUGCCUUGCCUGGUAUCAUUUUUUUCAGCACAACCUCACCUGUGUCAAUUUACAGUUAUUUUAUCAUUUUGACAUACUAUAUUUACACAUUGGACCCAAAUUCACACACAAAACAUAAAAUCCGAGUGGAAAAAAGUAACGUUUUUACUGUGAAAACCACAAAUAUGUGUGAUGAACUGUUUUUAAAACUUAAACUUCAAAUAAAAAUUGUAAACUUCAAAACAUAUGCAAAUUUUUAACAAAGAACAUAGUAAUUUACCUCUAUUUACAUCAAAAUGCAGGCAAUGGCCCAGGUGUUCUUUGUAAAAUUAUUUACAAAACACUGUAUAGUCUCACAAAUGUCACUUUUUAUUUAUGCCACUACAAAAAAACAUGAUGUAAAUGAUGCAUGAUGUAAAACAUGAUGUAAAAAACUUGUGUAGAUCCUCCUCUAUGUCAGUCCAUGUGUAAUUUUUCCAUAAUUCUUUGUUUUUUGCAGCAUUUUUGUUAGUGUAACUGCAGAUUGUGCUGACAGUGUCUAUGGCAAAAAAAAAAAAAAAACUGAAAAUGCCUCAACAUGAACCCCUGGUGGUCUCUGAGGGUGAAACCUGCUAACUGCUGCAGCUCUGUCAGCUUCAGUCUCCCAUGCAGAGCUCGGAGCGCAUGUGUGGCUCUGCACCCUUAGCAGCGUUGCUAACUCCUCAGUAAGGAAAGCCUGCUUCACGUCAGAGUCUCUAAACUCCAGAAGAAGUCAAUAAAAGUCACUUUCUUUCUAAAAAAAAGUCGUUAGGGGGUCUGAAAAGUCAUUGAAUCUAACAACAAAGUCGCUAGGUUUGCAACUACGUGUCCCAGACUGCAUCCCUGCUGAGAGUCCCUCCCUCCCUUCUCAUAUUGCAGGAAGAACGUAAGCGCCCGCCCCUUGUCAAUCAGUCACCAUAUAAUUUUGGAUUGGUUGUUGUGGUGAAGUUUUCCACCAAUAGGAGAGAUGUUGUGGUGUGUUUUUUUUUUUCUUUUGGCAAGCCUUUUCCGCCUGUAAGACCUGUCGCUAAUGUCUGCAUGCUAUGUUUUCCUGUCUCAUACAGCGCGAUCGAGCGCCGAACGUGAUCAAAAUAAGCAGAAAACAAGUAUCGCGGACAUAAUUUAUCAUAACUCUGGUUUUAUUUGGCCUAUCAACACAAUUUAAAAACUGGUAUAUAGGUUGAGGUCCUCACUUUUGAGAUAAGUUGAAACGGAGAGUCAACGAGGCUCCGUCUUGCAGCUACAUCCGGUUAAAUAUGUCAUGUGACUUGAACGCACACACACACACACACACAGACACACACACACGCACACACAUACACUCAGAGUCUGGUUUUUAGCACCUGCAAAAACAUGCUAUUUACAUAUUUGACAAGAAUGCAGAGGCUCCUUUUGCCCCUGAAAAAAAUCAAAUUUCAAACACAACUUGACUGGUCAUUUCUCCAAAAGACAACCAUGAAGCUCCAUCCAAACCUGAAGCAGGCAGUUGGUGCAUGUGUACAGUAACCUGAGGGGAGUGAGGUGACUGCUUCUGAGGAGAACAUGAGCAGUGAAGAUUCACCUUAGAGCUAGAACAGAGACGUGCACAUGAUUAUACAGGGGCAGGGGCUCAAGUUUUUUCCAGUUGUUUAUACAAUAUGGAAAUUAAUGUGAAAUUAAAAAACAAAGUAUUAAUAGAAAGGUAAUGACUGUCCUGUGUAGGUGACAGUGAUAUCCAAUAGGCUAGGCACUCAUGAGGCUGGCUGUGGCAAGUGUAAGUGAAAGCAACACGCACUGGCAGGAAGAACAGCAAACGCAGAUGAAGGAAAAUGGUCUUUGCAGUGAUGGGCGUUACCAGAGAGGGCGAUGGCCAGAGGACACAAAUGGGACGGGGAGGCAGCGCGUUGGGGGGGGGGACGCGACACAGCUCGGGCCCGCCAGUGCCCCAACGGGGUCCUAGUUUGUUAUUAGGGCCCGAGCGUAGCUGCUAAGCAGCUGCGAGAGCCCUCUUGUUCCUGAUGGAUUCUUCUUUCGUUAUUUUUCCUCCGCUUUAAACUGGAAAAUGGCCCACUUCCCACUGGCGAAAACUCAGGAAAUUUGGCAGGACGACCGGGCCUGGUGAAAAAUUUGAUAUUCUGAAGUCGCCCAAACAAAAAAAUGAAAAAUGGCUGCAUAGCGCCCCCUAUGGGGAAAACUCACCUGAAGCCUGUACACUUUGUCAAAAUGACACAAAAUUUGACACACAUGUGUAUCUCAAUAAGAUCUACAAAAAAGUCAGUGCGAGCGUAUCUGUCAAAUGUACUGUUAAAGGGCUAAUUCGCAUUUUUUGCCGAUCCGCACACAUUGGAAUUUCGCUAACUCCUCCGAAG